rnacentral:sRNA from 1 species
AAAUAAACAAAUAUAAAGGAGAGAGAGAGAGAUGAUUCUGUUGGUUUGGUUUAGAGAUUAAAAUCAUCCCUAGAUGACGUCAUCCAUGUGUUUUAUUUUGAUUUAUUUUGGGCAAGUUUUAAAACUGAACUGUUUAGAUAACGCAUUGUUUAUAUUUAGCAAUGACUGGGUCUGGUAAAUAUAAAUAUAGCUCAUUAAUUGAUGAUAGCUUGAAACUUGUUUUACAUAUAGUGGUUGUAUUCUACAUCCCAAGUGCACUAUAUAGAGACAUGAACUUCCACUCAGACCGAUGAACCACCUAAAGAACCAAAGCCCAAAUUAAAGACCAAAGCUUUCAGCCCUCGAAAAAUUCAGACCAAAUGUGAGAAAAAGAGGCUUCGUAAAGAAAGAAGGGCUCAAGCCAGAUUAGCUGCUCUGGAAACAAAGCCUCUUGAGGCUGAAGAAAAUGUGACCACAGAACCACCACAUGAAGUUUUGCCAGAUGUCAGUCAAAUAUUAGCUCCUGACUGCCAAGUGACACUACUCAAGAAAGAUGACCCAGAAUUGCUUGUUUCA